GUUUGUGUUUUCCAGACUAAAAGGACUUAGGUGAGAAGGCUAUAACAGAUACAGAGGCAGCAGAGGUAGUGACCCAAGCAGUGGAAGACACAAUGAAGAUGACUGGAUGUGGAAGCUGCGGCAUGUACGUGAUCCUGGAGGGGAUAUCUGAAAAGAGUUUCGUCUGCAUGAAGUGCCGUCUGACAGAGCCGAUGGAAGAAAAGAUCUGAGGAUUGGAGAUGCAGGUGGAAAUGCUGUAAUGCCUGAUAGCCCUUCUGCGCUGCUACUGUCAGAUC